CCCUUGCCAGAUAGACGACUUCAACUGCUGCCAGCUACUGGGAAUUUGUGAGUGUGAAAUAAGCAGAGCUAAAGCACUUCUUAAGAUUCAGUGGCAGACACUUAUCAUGCAUUGUUUCCAGAAGGAACUCCCAUGGAGUUUCAACGCAUCUUGGAACUCAAAGGUCUUAAGAAAGCUGAUCAGCAGAUCAUACUUGAUGAUUUCAACAAGUAUGGCCCAGGGUUGACAUAGCCCUCUGUUUCAGGGGCAAUGCCACAAGUGGUUCCAAUUUA